CAGGCCAGCCAGAUGGUCGCGGCGUUGAGCGAUCAGCGUCGAGGAAAGUCCGCACUCCACAGGGCAGGUUGCCGGGUAACACCCGGGGCGGGGAUCCUCCGGGAGAACCCGCCGGACAGGGCCACAGAAACAUACCGCCCGCAAGGGCAAGGGUGAAAAGGUGGUGUAAGAGACCACCGGCGCUGCCGAAAUGCAGCGGCCAGGUAACCCCCAACCGGAGCAAGGCCAAGCAGGGACCAUGUCCGCUUCGACGGCAGGAAACGGCCCGUUUCCUUAUGAGUCCCGGGUAGGCUGCACGAGCCCGGUGGCAACACCCGGCCUAGAGAGAUGACCAUCCACCUGGAAACCGUGCAACGCGCAUACCUUUUCAGGGAACAGAAUGCGGCUUAUCGGCUGGCCUGUGUG
rnacentral:RNase_P_RNA from 1 species